GACGAACGCUGGCGGCGUGCCUACUACAUGCAAGUAGAACGCAGUUGCGACCGGGUGCGUACCGCGUAGUUAACUUCCUCAUAGCGGGGGGUAACUGUUGGAACCGAUAGCUAAUACCGCAUCCUUUGAGAUGGACCUACGUUGUAUUAGCUAGGUGGUUAGGUAAAGGCUCACCAAGGCGACGAUACAUAGCCGAACUGGGAGGGGGAUCGGCCACACGGGGACUGAAAAACGGCCCCUACGCCUAAGGGAGGCAGCAGUAAGGAAACUGCGGAAAUUGACGGAAGGCUGACCGAGCAACGGCGGGGGAGGGAAGAAGGUUGUCGGAUUGUAAAGCUCCGGUGUUAGAGAAGCGGUAACUAACCAGAAAGGGACGGCUAACUACGUGCCAGCAGCCGCGGUAAUAC
rnacentral:rRNA from 1 species